rnacentral:rRNA from 1 species
UGGGGAAUAUUGGACAAUGGGCGAAAGCCUGAUUCAGCCAUGCCGCGUGUGUGAAGAAGGUCUUCGGAUUGUAAAGCACUUUAAGUUGGGAGGAAGGGCAUUAACCUAAUACGUUAGUGUUUUGACGUUACCGACAGAAUAAGCACCGGCUAACUCUGUGCCAGCAGCCGCGGUAAUACAGAGGGUGCAAGCGUUAAUCGGAAUUACUGGGCGUAAAGCGCGCGUAGGUGGUUUGUUAAGUUGGAUGUGAAAUCCCCGGGCUCAACCUGGGAACUGCAUUCAAAACUGACUGACUAGAGUAUGGUAGAGGGUGGUGGAAUUUCCUGUGUAGCGGUGAAAUGCGUAGAUAUAGGAAGGAACACCAGUGGCGAAGGCGACCACCUGGACUAAUACUGACACUGAGGUGCGAAAGCGUGGGGAGCAAACA